GUGCUGGCACACUGAUCUCAGAUGUCCAGCCUCCAGAACUAUGAGAAAGUACUUUUCUGUUAAGACACCCAGUCUAUGGUAUUUUGUUAUGGCAGCCCAAGUUGACCAGUACAGAUUUUGGUACCAAGAAGUGGGGUGCUGCUGUAACAGAUACCAAAAGAUAUGGAAGCAGUUUUGGAACUGGGUAGUAAUGGGCAGAGGCUGGAAGAGUUUGGAGGUGCAUGCUAGAAAAAGCCUAGAUUGACGUAAACUGAAUAUUGGUAUCAAUACGGACGUUAAAGAUCAUUCUGGUGAGGUCUCAGAAAUGAGAACUAUGUUACUGGAAAGCAGAGGAAAGGCCAUGUUUCUUGUAACAUGACAAAGUGCAUCUGUAACUUUUUAGGUAUGAUGGAUUUAUUUUUAAAAAAUAAAUAAUAAAGUGGCAAAGAACUUGGUGGAAAUGUGUUUUGUUAUGAAAGCCUGAGUGGACUCAUACACACUCUUGUGUUUCUCUGCCAGACUUGGUCCAUCAGCUCCUGGGAGGCUUUACCGAUUAACCUGACUUUGGUAUGAACACUCCCAUACUCAAAUUCUUUCUGGAAAGUUUGGACUUACUGAUGAACUUUUUUACAUCUAUGAGUGUAUCAUUUUGCCUAUUUUUAUGUCUCACCCCAGAUGAAUAAAAUUCCCUCUGGUGUCUAUAACAGCCUCGUUGGGGUCCUCUUUAGGCUCACAGCACCAACUCCGUAGCCCUGAACACAUGGCAGAUGAGCAGACAUUCUGAGUGGUUAGGCGCUUGCCAAACAUAUUCCAGAACCCUCCAAAGAGGUAUGAAAAGACUAGGAAAGUCUGGAAACAAAGACAAUUCAAUAAGGUAGCAGAUUAUUAAAUUAACAUAUGAAAACAGUUAAUUGUAAUAUAUGCAAAAAUAACAAUUUGAAAAAUGGAAAUGGAAACGGAAAACCAUAUCCCUAUUUUCAAUAGAAACUAAAAAGUUUGUAUAAGAUUUGAUACACAGAUACAUCAAAACUUUGAUAUAUAGAUAUUCAGUAAGAAAUAUAUAUCUUGGCCAGGCAUGGUGGCUCACACCUGUAAUUUCAGCACUUUGGGAGGCCAAGGCGGCCGGAUGACCAGAGGUCAGGAGUUCGAGACCAGCCUGGCCAACAUGGCAAAACCUCGUCUCUACUAAAAUUACAAAAUAAUUAGCCAGGUGUGGUGGUGGACACCUGUAAUCCCAGCUACCUGGAAGGCUGUGGCAGGAGAAUCACUUGAACCUGGGAUGUAGAGGUUGCAGUGAGCCAAGAUCACGCCAUUGCACUCCAGCCUGGACAACAGAGUGAGACUCUGUCUCAGAAAGAAAAAAAAAAAAAA
rnacentral:lncRNA from 1 species